rnacentral:rRNA from 1 species
AGCGAACGCUGGCGGCAGGCCUAACACAUGCAAGUCGAACGGACCCUUCGGGGUUAGUGGCGGACGGGUGAGUAACACGUGGGAACGUGCCUUUAAGUUCGGAAUAGCUCCUGGAAACGGGUGGUAAUGCCGAAUGUGCCCUUCGGGGGAAAGAUUUAUCGCCUUUAGAGCGGCCCGCGUCUGAUUAGCUAGUUGGUGAGGUAACGGCUCACCAAGGCGACGAUCAGUAGCUGGUCUGAGAGGAUGACCAGCCACAUUGGGACUGAGACACGGCCCAAACUCCUACGGGAGGCAGCAGUGGGGAAUCUUGCGCAAUGGGCGAAAGCCUGACGCAGCCAUGCCGCGUGAAUGAUGAAGGUCUUAGGAUUGUAAAAUUCUUUCACCGGGGACGAUAAUGACGGUACCCGGAGAAGAAGCCCCGGCUAACUUCGUGCCAGCCGCCGCAGUAAAAC